rnacentral:rRNA from 1 species
GACGAACGCUGGCGGCGUGCUUAACACAUGCAAGUCGAACGGAAAGGCCCUGCUUGCAGGGUACUCGAGUGGCGAACGGGUGAGUAACACGUGGGUGAUCUGCCCUGCACUUCGGGAUAAGCCUGGGAAACUGGGUCUAAUACCGGAUAGGAGCCAUUUUUAGUGUGAUGGUUGGAAAGUUUUUUCGGUGUAGGAUGAGCUGGCGGCCUAUCAGCUUGUUGGUGGGGUAAUGGCCUACCAAGGCGGCGACGGGUAGCCGGCCUGAGAGGGUGGACGGGCACAGUGGGGCUGGGGUACGGCCCAGACGCCGACGGGGGGCAGCAGGGGGGAAGAUUGCACAAUGGGCGCAAGCCUGAUGCAGGGACGCCGCGUGGGGGAUGACGGGCUUCGGGUUGUAAACUCCAUUCGCUAGGGACGAAGCUUUUUGUGACGGUACCUAGAUAAGAAGCACCGGCUAACUACGUG